rnacentral:rRNA from 1 species
GAUCAUGGCUCAGGAUGAACGCUAGCUACAGGCUUAACACAUGCAAGUCGGGGGGGCAGCAUGGUCUUAGCUUGCUAAGGCCGAUGGCGACCGGCGCACGGGUGAGUAACACGUAUCCAACCUGCCGUCUACUCUUGGACAGCCUUCUGAAAGGAAGAUUAAUACAAGAUGGCAUCAUGAGUUCACAUGUCCACAUGAUUAAAGGUAUUCCGGUAGACGAUGGGGA